rnacentral:rRNA from 1 species
GAUGAACGCUGGCGGCGUGCUUAACACAUGCAAGUCGAACGAUGAUGCCCAGCUUGCUGGGUGGAUUAGUGGCGAACGGGUGAGUAACACGUGAGUAACCUGCCCUUGACUCUGGGAUAAGCCUGGGAAACUGGGUCUAAUACCGGAUACGACCAUCUGGCGCAUGUCAUGGUGGUGGAAAGCUUUUGUGGUUUUGGAUGGACUCGCGGCCUAUCAGCUUGUUGGUGGGGUAAUGGCCUACCAAGGCGACGACGGGUAGCCGGCCUGAGAGGGUGACCGGCCCCACUGGGACUGAGACACGGCCCAGACUCCUACGGGAGGCAGCAGUGGGGAAUAUUGCGCAAUGGGCGCAAGCCUGAUGCAGCGACGCCGCGUGAGGGAUGACGGCCUUCGGGUUGUAAACCUCUUUCAGUAGGGAAGAAGCGAAAGUGACGGUACCUGCUGAAGAAGCGCCGGCUAACUACGUG